rnacentral:rRNA from 1 species
CCUACGGGUGGCAGCAGUGAGGAAUCUUGGUCAAUGGACGAGAGUCUGAACCAGCCACGUAGCGUGAAGGAUGACUGCCCUAUGGGUUGUAAACUUCUUUUAUAUGGGAAUAAAAUGUUCCACGUGUGGGAUUUUGUAUGUACCAUAUGCAUAAGGAUCGGCUAACUCCGUGCCAGCAGCCGCGGUAAUACGGAGGAUCCGAGCGUUAUCCGGAUUUAUUGGGUUUAAAGGUAGCGUAGGUGGAUUGUUAAGUCAGUUGUGAAAGUUUGCGGCUCAACCGUAAAAUUGCAGUUGAAACUGGCAGUCUUGAGUACAGGAGAGGUGGGCGGAAUUCGUGGUGUAGCGGUGAAAUGCUUAGAUAUCACGAAGAACUCCGAUUGCGAAGGCAGUUCACUGGACUGCAACUGACACUGAGGCUCGAAAGUGUGGGUAUCAAACAGGAUUAGAUACCCGUGUAGUC